GACCAGAUGGUGAAGUGGAAACACGGGAGUCUGCAAAACUUCUAUGCGCGGGUCCGAUUCCCGCUCUGGUCU
rnacentral:tRNA from 1 species